ACGCUAGCGACGUGCCUAAGGUAUGCAAGUCGAAUGCCGAUUUAUUGGCAUGGCAGACGGCUGAGUAAUACAUGGGAAUCUACCUCAAACUCGAGAAUAGCCCAUCGAAAGGUGGUGUAAUACUCGAUAGUUCCGUUUACGUGUAAAUGCUCCGUGCGGUUUGAGAUGAGCCCAUGUCCUAUCAGGUUGUUGGUGGGGUAAUUGCCUACCAAGCCUAUGACGGGUAGCUGGUUUGAGAGGAUGAUCAGCCAGACUGGGACUGCGAUACGGCCCAGACUCCUACGGGAGGCAGCAACUAGGAAUCAUGCGCAAUGGACGAAAGUCUGACGCUGCGACGUCGCGUGAGGGAUGAAGGUCUUCGGAUCGUAAACNCUCUUUUAUCUGGGAACANAUGUUCUGAGUGUACCAGAUGAAUAAGUGCCUGCCAACCACGUGCCAGAAGCAUCGGUAAUGCGUGGGGCACGAGCGNUUAUCCGGAUUUACUGGGCGUAAAGAGAUGCGUAGGCGCCUUUUUAAGUCACUUGUAAAAUCUCCCCGCUCAACGGGGAAACUGCAAGUGAUACUGAAUUGGUUGAGUCAAGUAGAGGAGAGGGGAAUUCCUGGUGGAGCGGUUAAAUGCGUUGAUAUCAGGAGGAAUACCAAGUGCGAAGGCACCUCUCUGGACUUGUACUGACGCUAAGGCUCGAAAGUGUGGGGAGCAAAACGGAUUAGAUACCCGUGUAGUCCACACUGUAAACGAUCCCUGCUAGAUGUUUG
rnacentral:rRNA from 1 species